rnacentral:misc_RNA from 1 species
AACAAGGCGUACCUGCGGACCUGCGGAGGGAUCAUUACCGAGUGUGGUCCCAUAAGGGGCGCCUCCCGUCCUUUGCAGGGCCUUUAGGGGCUUUUUGACUUUGCUUCGGCGGGCUUGCCCCGCCGGAACACCCUCAAGAAAAUCUUUAUGAACCGCUUGUCUGAGUUUGCUUGCGAAUAAAAAACAAAACUUUUAACAAUGGAUCU